ACCAUGUUGUAGUGUGUGUAAACAUCCUACACUCUCAGCUGUGAGUUCAAGGUGGCUGGGAGAGGGUUGUUUACUCCUUCUGCCAUGGA
rnacentral:pre_miRNA from 1 species